AGCAGAGGUGCACACACAAAGAGCAAACGUGGAGACAUCCAUUCGUUUUCAUAUUGGUUUCAUAAGAAGCAAAGUAACACUGGAUUAGGAUUUCAGCAAGCAGGUUGGAAUGAGCCUGUGUUGAAUUGACUAAACACGCAGAAUAUCUUGAUUUGAAAAAGAUCGCUAAGGAUCAACAAACUCAACUCCCUGCUCCUCAUCGGACUGCCUACAACUAAGCCGUAUGAUCAAGAGUGUCAUCCAGAUGCUCCCAAAAGACAACCUCAAGUGAUUGGAUAAACAUCAUCGACGUGGAAGCCACAAUGCCACGUGUGCAACAAAGGGAUUACUGCAUCCUAGAUGAAUAAUGUCAUCAUUUUAUUGAAAGAAAUAAACUCUUAGAGAGCAGAAAACAAACCCAAAGAUGAAGAAAUCAUGUUGGUGACUGUGAAUAAAGACCAAAAUAUUUAAGGACUAUUUAAAAGGAAUAGACCCCUGCAGCACUGGGGGUCCUAUGAAAGAAGAUACCCACAACACAGAAAGUCAUGAGCUAAGCAGAAAGAUUUUAGAUUUUUGGAAGGUUAGUACCUCAGAGAGAAGAAAUUAAUGCAGAGUAUACUUUAGAUGUCAUUCUUCCUUAAACAAAAAAAAUGUAAUGAGAUACUCUUAAGGUCUGCAGUGCACGUCAUUCCCAAAAGAAAAAAAAAAGCUCCCAAAGCAAUUCCUGCUCCACAGCAUUAUUGUUUAUUGAUCAAGGACUGGAGGAAGGCAGGAGGACCUGCAGGUCUGCUUGCCUCGGAUCCAUUAUUC